GACGAACGCUGGCGGCGUGCUUAACACAUGCAAGUCGAGCGGUAAGGCCCUUUCGGGGGGUACACGAGCGGCGAACGGGUGAGUAACACGUGGGUGACCUGCCCUCAGCUCUGGGAUAAGCCUGGGAAACCGGGUCUAAUACCGGAUAUGACUCCAUGACGCAUGUUGUGGGGUGGAAAGCCUUGUGCGGCUGAGGAUGGGCCCGCGGCCUAUCAGCUUGUUGGUGGGGUGAUGGCCUACCAAGGCGACGACGGGUAGCCGGCCUGAGAGGGCGACCGGCCACACUGGGACUGAGACACGGCCCAGACUCCUACGGGAGGCAGCAGUGGGGAAUAUUGCGCAAUGGGCGUAAGCCUGACGCAGCGACGCCGCGUGGGGAUGAAGG
rnacentral:rRNA from 1 species